rnacentral:lncRNA from 1 species
AAAAGGAGAUAAACAUCUUAAUAUAUAUUUAAUAUAACCUUUAUAAGUAAUUACAUGUUACAAGUCAAUCUAAAAAUAAAAGUCAUUCCAAAAAUAUUCUAGACGACUUAUGUACACCCAAAAAGGCUAGCUUGACCAAAUCUCGUGGUAAACAUCAAUUAAUAUCUCGCCCCAAGGGUCGCGGAGAGAAUUUGUUAAAAUGGCUAAUGCUUCCCAAUCCAAGAUUUCUACAUAAUUUUCCAGUUCUACACGUUUUAUCUCAAACAGAUGUAUAAAACUAGCAACACUAAUGUUAGGCGACAUCUUAAAAGACUUGAAUUCUUUCAAUUUCCUCUCUCUUUUCCUUUGCAUAGCCCUUUCAUUCCGUAACCAAUUUUGUGUCGCUCUAGGGAUACUAUUUCGUAUGAUCUCUCAACCUCAAAAAUAUGCCCUUCGACGACGUGCUCUUCUACCUUGUCUCUUUCCUCGACAUCCAAAACUCUAACUUGGAGUGAUUCGAGCUUGUCCCCGUUCAGUCAUUUCUGAAAUAGGAACCAAGAAACAAUAAGAAUGAUAUUUUCAUUCAAUGCGACAACUUAUGUCAUAAUUUUUAUUAUAGAAGUCACAAUCUGUUUAUGAUGAAUUUAGGAAUUUAUUAAGACAAGAAUUAUAUCAAGUCUAAUUCUGAUAUUUAUAUCACCAAAAUUAUUAAGAGUCAUUAUUAAUACAAUAUAAAAAAAAUUCACAAUUCCACAAAGUAAAUGAGAAUUUUCAUGAUAAAUAAGAGACUUUUAAUACACAAUUUCCCAAAAAAAUUGGAAUAAUAUAUUAAUAGUGUUCCAAGAAAAGACUAGCAAUUUCUUUAUUUCAUUAAAAAAAUAAUAAUAACACUUCCACUGGAAGUUUCUAUCCAACUGUUUUAAAAAACAUAUGUUGUAUCCUUAUGACUGUUAUCCUUUUCUCUGUACUACCGCCUCCAUUCACAUGAAACCUUUUUUAUUAUUAUUAUUAAUAAUUUAUUAACAAACGAAUUUCUAUGAGUGAAUCUCAAAGACAAACAAACGGAUACUAACUUCACCAGAAAACAAAGGAAACAGAAACUACUAGAUCUGUGAUUCAAUGGUUGCACAUCUGCCUUCAUAGGAGAAAGUUACAUAAAUUCGUGAUUUAUUCACGUUGGGUUCUAUCCCUUGAUCCAUUCAGUUUCUUUUUCUAAUUUAAUCGGUGAGUUACAUACAAUUUUCGAUUUCUUUGAAAACAGAAGUUUCCAAAAGAAAAUGUCAUCAGUUUCUAAACACCAAUUUAACAUGCAAAAUAGGGCAAUUAACCUGGCUCUGAUGCCAUUAAUAGUAAUUUCGGAGUAAAAACAAUAAGUUGUGUACCUUCGAAUUUGCAGCGGAUCUUGAUUUUUGCUUUCGAAAGGAUCUUGCUCUAAGUCGAUUUCUUUUCUCUUGAAAACGGAAUGAUAUCUCACAAAACUAAAUGCCUUCUUUGUUGAUGUUGUUCAGGUUUUGUGUUUCUGGAUACUUAAGAAUUUUUGUGUUUUUCUUAUCUGUGUAUUGCUUUGAAGAAG